rnacentral:rRNA from 1 species
UAUUGGACAAUGGAGGAAACUCUGAUCCAGCCAUGCCGCGUGAGUGAAGAAGGCCUUAGGGUUGUAAAGCUCUUUCAGUAGUGAAGAUAAUGACGGUAACUACAGAAGAAGCUCCGGCUAAAUUCGUGCCAGCAGCCGCGGUAAUACGAAUGGAGCAAGCGUUGUUCGGAAUCACUGGGCUUAAAGCGUGCGCAGGCGGAAACGAAAGUCAGAAGUGAAAUCCCAGGGCUCAACCCUGGAACUGCUUUUGAAACUUCGUUUCUAGAAUCCGAUAGAGGUAAGGAGAAUUCCUAGUGUAGAGGUGAAAUUCGCAGAUAUUAGGAGGAAUACCAGUGGCGUAGGCGCCUUACUGGGUCGGUAUUGACGCUCAUGUACGAAAGCGUGGGGAGCAAACAGGAUUAGAUACCCUGGUAGUCCACGCCGUAAACGAUGUGUGCUAGUUGUUGGAGGCUUAAGUCUUCAGUGACGCAGAGAAAUCAUUAAGCACACCGCCUGGGGAGUACGGCCGCAAGGUUAAAACUCAAAGGAAUUGACGGGGACCCGCACAAGCGGUGGAGCAUGUUCUUUAAUUCGAAGCAACGCGAAGAACCUUACCCACACUUGACAUCCUUCUUGGGAAUUGCAGAGAUGCUUGUCUUCGGUUCGGCCGGGGAAGUGACAGGUGCUGCAUGGCUGUCGUCAGCUCGUGUCGUGAGAUGUUAGGUUAAGUCCUGCAACGAGCGCAACCCUUAUCGUAUGUUGCCAUCAUUUAGUUGGGCAAUCGUGCGAGACUGCCGGUGUCAAGCCGGAGGAAGGUGGGGACGACGUCAAGUCAUCAUGGCCCUUACGUGUGGGGCUAGAAACGUGCUACAAUGGGUAUGACAGAGGGCAGCCACUCCGCGAGGAGGCGCUAAUCCCGAGACAUACUCUCAGUUCGGAUUGUACUCUGCAACUCGAGUGCAUGAAGUUGGAAUCGCUAGUAAUCGCGCAU